rnacentral:rRNA from 1 species
GACGAACGCUGGCGGCGUGCUUAACACAUGCAAGUCGAACGGAAAGGCCCUGCUUUUGUGGGGUGCUCGAGUGGCGAACGGGUGAGUAACACGUGAGUAACCUGCCCUUGACUUUGGGAUAACUUCAGGAAACUGGGGCUAAUACCGGAUAGGAGCUCCUGCUGCAUGGUGGGGGUUGGAAAGUUUCGGCGGUUGGGGAUGGACUCGCGGCUUAUCAGCUUGUUGGUGGGGUAGUGGCUUACCAAGGCUUUGACGGGUAGCCGGCCUGAGAGGGUGACCGGCCACAUUGGGACUGAGAUACGGCCCAGACUCCUACGGGAGGCAGCAGUGGGGAAUAUUGCACAAUGGGCGGAAGCCUGAUGCAGCAACGCCGCGUGCGGGAUGACGGCCUUCGGGUUGUAAACCGCUUUCGCCUGUGACGAAGCGUGAGUGACGGUAAUGGGUAAAGAAGCACCGGCUAACUACGUGCCAGCAGCCGCGGUGAUACGUAGGGUGCGAGCGUUGUCCGGAUUUAUUGGGCGUAAAGGGCUCGUAGGUGGUUGAUCGCGUCGGAAGUGUAAUCUUGGGGCUUAACCCUGAGCGUGCUUUCGAUACGGGUUGACUUGAGGAAGGUAGGGGAGAAUGGAAUUCCUGGUGGAGCGGUGGAAUGCGCAGAUAUCAGGAGGAACACCAGUGGCGAAGGCGGUUCUCUGGGCCUUUCCUGACGCUGAGGAGCGAAAGCGUGGGGAGCGAACAGGCUUAGAUACCCUGGUAGUCCACGCUGUAAACGGUGGGUACUAGGUGUGGGGUCCAUUCCACGGGUUCCGUGCCGUAGCUAACGCUUUAAGUACCCCGCCUGGGGAGUACGGCCGCAAGGCUAAAACUCAAAGGAAUUGACGGGGCCCCGCACAAGCGGCGGAGCAUGCGGAUUAAUUCGAUGCAACGCGUAGAACCUUACCUGGGUUUGACAUGGAUCGGGAGUGCUCAGAGAUGGGUGUGCCUCUUUUGGGGUCGGUUCACAGGUGGUGCAUGCCUGUCGUCAGCUCGUGUCGUGAGAUGUUGGGUUAAGUCCCGCAACGAGCGCAACCCUUGUUCACUGUUGCCAGCACGUUAUGGUGGGGACUCAGUGGAGACCGCCGGGGUCAACUCGGAGGAAGGUGGGGAUGACGUCAAGUCCUCAUGCCCCUUAUGUCCAGGGCUUCACGCAUGCUACAAUGGCUGGUACAGAGAGUGGCGAGCCUGUGAGGGUGAGCGAAUCUCGGAAAGCCGGUCUCAGUUCGGAUUGGGGUUUGCAACUCGACCUCAUGAAGUCGGAGUCGCUAGUAAUCGCAGAUCAGCAACGCUGCGGUGAAAAAGUUCCCGGG